CUCGAUAACGGCAAACUAAGAGUAAUCUUAGGGCGCAAAGUCACAGAUCCCAAGGGAUGGCUGGGCUACCGAAA
rnacentral:ncRNA from 1 species